AUUGAACGCUGGCGGCAGGCCUAACACAUGCAAGUCGAGCGAGCGGCGGACGGGUGAGUAAUGUCUGGGAAACAGCCUGAUGGAGGGGGAUAACUACUGGAAACGGUAGCUAAUACCGCAUACCAUCAGAUGUGCCCAGAUGUGAUUAGCUAGUAGGUGGGGUAACGGCUCACCUAGGCGGCGAUCCCGAGCUGGUCUGAGAGACUGACCAGCCAACAUUGAACUUGAACACGGUCCAGACUCAUCCGGGCGGAAGCAGUGGGCAAUAUUGCACAAUGGGCGAAAGCCUGAUGCAGCCAUGCCGCGUGUGUGAAGAAGGCCUUCGGGUUGUAAAGCACUUUCAGCGGGGAGGCGUUACCCGCAGAAGAAGCACCGGCUAACUCCGUGCCAGCCGCCGCGGUAAUUC
rnacentral:rRNA from 1 species